GAUGAACGCUGGCGGCGUGCCUAAUACAUGCAAGUCGAGCGAACGGACGAGAAGCUUGCUUCUCUGAUGUUAGCGGCGGAUGGGUGAGUAACACGUGGAUAACCUAUCUAUAAGACUGGGCUAACUUCGGGAAACCGGAGCUAAUACCGGAUAAUAUUUUGAACCGCAUGGUUCAAAAGUGAAAGACGGUCUUGCUGUCACUUAUAGAUGGAUCCGCGCUGCAUUAGCUAGUUGGUAAGGUAACGGCUUACUACGGCAACGAUGCAUAGCGGACCUGAGAGGGAGAGCGUCCACGCUGGAACUGAGACACGGUCCAGACUCCUACGGGGGGCAGCAGUAGGGGAUCUUCCGCGAUGGGCGAAAGCGUGACGGAGCAACGCCGCGUGAGUGAUGAGGGUCUUCGGAUCGUAAAACUCUGUUAUUAGGGAAGAACAUAUGUGUACGUAACUGUGCGCAUCUUGACGGUACCUAAUCAGAAAGCCACGGCUAACUACGUG
rnacentral:rRNA from 1 species